ensembl:lncRNA
CCCUGCUCAGCGUGCCGUGGGUGCAUCCGUGUUGGCGGGCAUAACUGCCGCGGUUGUUGGCAAGUCUCCUCCGCCUGCUUGCUGUCACGGCUAAUCGGGCUGCUGUGAAGCGUGUGGCCUGUGGGACGCCACCGCUUCCCUGGACUGGCUGCUGUUUCGGCUCUUUUCCUACGGCUGUUUCGGCUCUUGUCUUUUUCUACGGCUGUUUCGGCUCUCUGUGCAGCUCUCUUGUCGACGUGUUGUGUCGGCUCGUUCUCUCUGUGGCUCUUUGCUUCAGCGUAGUAGUUUUAUUGCAUUGUACUUUCGGCACUAAAGCCUUAGGCUUUGUAACGCUGUUAUAUCGCCUUAUAUUGUAUAUGCAUUUUAACUAUUGUUCUGUGGAGUGAGUGUGUGUGCGUGUUUUAUGAUUAUGUGUAUCGGUCUGGUCACCAGGCUUCUGUUAAGUUAGCUUUACUAAUAAUUUGUUUCUUUUGUGCAGGUUCGGCAAGCCUCGGCGGCAGUCCAAUCCCUGGUGGUGGUUUCACAAGUCCUCUUUUUCGUUGGUGUGUCAUGUCACAGGCAUACCCAUUUCUUGCAACAGAUGAGAAUACUUGGGACACAAAAGUUAAGAUGAGAGUGAUGACGUCACGUCUGCUCUCUCCAAACGUCCGUGAAUGAACGGAGCUUCUCGCCGGGUGCGGUGGCGCGCGCCUGUAAUCCAAGUUACCGGGAGGCUGAGGCUGGAGGAUCGUUUGAGCUCAGGAGCUCUGAGCUGCAGCGGACUAUGCCGAUCGGGUGUCCGCGCUAAGUUCGGUAUCG